ensembl:lncRNA
GAAAACCUUGCGUAAAAUACUGAGGUAGCCAUUUUUCCAAUCGCUUCUUAUGAGAAACCAACUGCCUCGACGGAUAUAUUAUCAAAUAUGUUUGUUAAAAACACUUUGAGGAUGGAUCCUAAACAACGUUUGCUGUGUUUCUGUCGAUAUUAUGGAGCAAAUUUAGAAAAAAAGUUUGGCGUUAUAGUUGUAGCAUUUUAGGGUCGAUUUCUCAGCCAAGCAUGAUGAACAAACGGGAGCUAUUUCGCCUACAAAAAUAAUAUUUUUGGAAAAAAGGAACAUUUGCUAUCUAACUGGGAGUGUCCUGAGUGAAAGCAUCUGAAGUUCUUCAAAGGACCUGAGCCCUAGGACCAUGCCCCAGGACUACCUGACAUGAUGACUCCUUGUUGUCUCCAGUCCACCUGGCCGUGCUGCUGCUCCAGUUUCAACUGUUCUGCCUUAUUAUUAUUCGACCAUGCUGGUCAUUUAUGAACAUUUGAACAUCUUGACCAUGUUCUGUUAUAAUCUCCACCCGGCACAGCCAGAAGAGGACUGGCCACCCCACAUAGCCUGGUUCCUCUCUAGGUUUCUUCCUAGGUAUUGGCCUUUCUAGGGAGUUUUUCCUAGCCACCGUGCUUCUACACCUGCAUUGCUUGCUGUUUGGGGUUUUAAGCUGGGUUUCUGUACAGCACUUUGAGAUAUCAGCUGAUGUACGAAGGGCUAUAUAAAUACAUUUGAUUUGAUUUGAUUUGUGUCCCAGGGGAGAGAGCUGGUUUAAUUCCCCAGGAAAUCAUUCUGAUUUGGAACAGCAGGAAAGUCAUUUCCAAUGAAAGUCAAUGGACUGCUGGUGAGAGCGGCUUGAGAGAGAGAGUAGGGUGUGUGUGUGUCUUCCUAACCCUUGUUUGUGAUGUGACUACCAUUAAUGUGAUGGCGACUAUUUUAUUAAAUCUAUUAACUAUGUUUAAUUAUUACGUGAUUAAAUUAAUCAUGUAACUAUUAACUCAUUAGUAACUUGGGGCACCAUGGAAAAAGUUUGUUUAAAACCUGUUGCGACUCUAGGAGCAGUAUUUUCAUUUUUGGAAAACGUUCCCAUUUUAAACGGGAUAUUUUGUCAGGACAAGUUGCUAGAAUAUGCAUAUAAUUGACAGCUUUGGAUAGAAAACACUCUAACGUUUCCAAAACUGUCAAGAUAUUGUCUGUGAGUAUAACAGAAUUGAUGUUGCAGGUGAAAGCCUGAGAAAAAUCCAAUCCAGAAGUACCCCAGGUUUUGAAAGCGCUGCGUUCCAAUGAGUCCCUAUUGAGCUGUGAAUGUGCCAUCAAUGAGCUUACGCUUUCUACGUAUUCUCCAAGGUGUCUCCAGCAUUGUGACGUAGUUUUACGCAUUUAUGUUGAAGAAUAGCCGUAGGCGGGCACAUUGCGUAAGUGGUCACAUGGUGGCUCCGAGACAGAUUCUCGCGUAAAAUACAGAGGUAGCCAUUACUCCACUCGGUCCUACUGAAAAACAAAUUGUCCCGACGGAUAUAUUAUCGAAUAGAUAUUAGAAAAACACCUUGAGGAUUGAUUAUAAACAACGUUUUCCAGGUUUCUGUUGAUAUUAUGGAGCUAAUUUGGAAUAUUUUUCGCCGUUUUCGUGACUGCAAUUUCCGGGCGAUUUCUCAGCCAAACGUGAAGAACAAUCGGAGCUAUUUCGCCUACAAAAAUAAUCUUCUGGGACAAAAUUAACUUCGGCUAUCUACCUGGGAGUCUCGUGAGUGAAAACAUCCGAAGUUCAUCAAAGGUAAACAAUUUAAUUUGAUUGCUUUUCUGAUUUUCGUGACAAGGUUGCCUGCUGUAAGCAAGGCAUAAUGCUAUGCUAGUCUAUGAUAAACUUACACAAAUGCUUGUCGAGCUUUGGCUGUAAAGCAUAUUUUGAAAAUCUGAGAUGACAGGGUGAUUAACAAAAGGCUAAGCUGUGUUCCAAUAUAUUUCACUUGUGAUUUUCAUGAAUAGGAAGAUUUUCUAGGAAGAUUUAUGUCCGUUGCGUUAUGCUAAUUAGUGUCAGGCGAUGAUUACGCUCCCUGACCCAGGUUUGAGAGUCACAAGAAGUGAGGUACCGUUUCCCGAAUUAACUCAAGACUAUAUCAGAUUAUAUUGUUUUCAUACCAUCCACUAAUCAUUAUCACCUCAUAUCAGUCUCAUUCUGAACGUCGCAUAACUCUUGGAUAUCUGCACAGACCCUAGUCUAAAUGAUGAUUCAGCGAUGCACAAAUUGGCUUUAUUAUUUAUUUAAUAACUAUCUAAAUAAUCACACAAAAAUACAUAAACACAUAGUAUCGGUUAUAUUAUUAUAUUGUUAUACUAACAUAAUGCAAUGAAAAGUCCCUAGUGGACUAACCCGGUAUUACGGCUUGUUACACAAUGGAGAGGGGGUGGGGACAGACAAAGAGUGGGAAAGACAUCGCACAUACAGUUGGAAAACUAUUCUCAUGGGAAUGUGAAUACUUUGUACAUGAACGACCACUCAUUCAAAAAAUAAUCACAAUGUAUAUAUUUACGCUUGUAUGUCUUUGUCG